rnacentral:rRNA from 1 species
UACGAAGGGUGCAAGCGUUACUCGGAAUUACUGGGCGUAAAGCGUGCGUAGGUGGUGAGUUAAGUCUGUCGUGAAAGCCCCGGGCUCAACCUGGGAAUGGCGAUGGAUACUGGCUCGCUAGAGUGCGGUAGAGGAGAGUGGAAUUCCCGGUGUAGCAGUGAAAUGCGUAGAGAUCGGGAGGAACAUCAGUUGCGAAGGCGGCUACCUGGCCCAAUACUGACACUCAGGUGCGACAGCGUGGGGAGCAAACAGG